UUUUCAGAUGCUGGUAAUUUAAUGGAGGUAGGGUUGUCUGGCUGCCAUUGAAAUGUCUGAUCCAAGUAUUCUGCUCCAAGGCAUUGAAUCUGCCAAAUUUUAGACAGAUUGGACAAAGGAUCUCCAUUUAAUAGGUAAUUUGUAAAUGACAGACAUCCUAUAACGAAAGUGUUAUACAGAAAUGUUUGCUGCCUUUUGUCAUCUCUGAGAGUUGUUGUUCCACCAAAUGAAAUGUGCAGCCAUUUUACUGUGGCAGUGAUUAAGAUGGUAGCUCCCAUUUCACAAGUUGGCUCAAAGGCUAACCAGUUGGUUUGUAAAGUCAUGGUUUUUCAAGGACAAAUUUGGUUUCUCCUGCUUUGAAGAGAGAUUGCAAUGUUUAAGUGAUUUAUGAGCAGCAGAUUUUCAAAAAUCUGAUUAAGCAUGAUGACAUUUCUUCAUUGGUGUGAGCGAGAAGAAAGGGGAGAGAUACCUCUUUUAAGAUAGACCCUAUUGGUGCUGGAUGAUGAAGAGUAUUCUAGUAAUGUUCACCUUGCUACCUCAUCAAUUUGUAGGCCAGCUCUGUGGUGCUACAGGCUGCGCGCAAGUUUGGCCUGCUCUCCCAACUUGGUACCCUUUCCAUCUCCAGCAGAGGUUCUAACUUCCUUAGAGUACAUUUUUUCAAAUGGUCAUUAUAAGGAUAUACUAAUUUCUUCCAAGCCAAUAUACUCCUGUCAGCAUUUUUUUAAAAGAAUGCCACCAGUGCAUCAGACAAUGGCCCAGUUAGCUAUGGUUGGCUUAGCAGCUAACUGAACAUACAAGUCCUUGCAGUAAAAAUUGCAACUGCUUUUCUGUUCACAUGAUCAUCCUGCUACUGUGCUCUCUGGAGCCAAACCAUGGUUUGGUUUAGCAUUAUGCACAAACCAGGGCUUGUGGCUUGUCUCACUCCUGAUGAACAGUGAGCUGCAAGCCAGGAACAAACACUGGCAACAGCUUAUGGUUUGUUUGGAACAGGGCAAACCAGGAACCUUGGUUCAGAUGUAGCGCUAAGCCAAACCAUAGCUUGCUUCCAAGUAGUGCAGCAGCAGGAUAUGGGGAGGGGGAUGAGGAGCAGAGUGCUGUGAUUUUUAUAGUGAGUUAUCCACACACCCAGUCUUUCUCAAUUAACCAUGGUUUGGCUUAGAUAUGGGCAGAAUGACAGCCGCAUCCCCACUCACCAGGACAGGGAUGUGGUGGGGUGAGGCAGCAGCCAGCAUCAUUGUUUCACAGGUGCUGUCUCCAAAUUGGACCUCUCCCAUUGCCAUCUCAUCCUGUCCUGUCCUGUUGCUGGACGUGUGCUAGGGUGGCUGGGGAAACCCAGCCAGAUGGGCAGGUUAAUAAUAAUGAUGAUGAUGUUGUUAUUGGUUCAGUUCAAUCAUACUUGCACAAAAGUACAGCUUAGUAGUACUUUUUUCAAUUGCAGUUGCUAUUUUGAUUUCCAAGAGCUAGUGAUAAAAUAGCCUGAUGUUUUAAAACCCCCAAGGUGGAGUGUGCUUUGAUGUGCUGUGGAGUCGUAGGCCAACAAGUCCUGUUUAAGAAAUACCAGCGUCAUGACACAGUUAUUUGCCUUUACAACAAGGUUGCCUUGUUUAAAGCAUUGACGGGAACCAGAUACCUUGUUUAUAAAGGGAAUUUAAUAAGGCUUUUCUCUCUCCAGAUAUCAGCCUCGGCAUGCAAAUGAAGGCAAGAUUAUCUUUGCUAAUGACCACAGGAAUGUUAAUAUACUCUUUGUUGUCUCCCGCCAAAGUUCAUCCGGCUUGUAAAGUGAAGCCUACAUUCCCAGAAUCUAAAUUCUAGCGAGGGGGCCAGGAAGGGAAAGGGGGC
rnacentral:lncRNA from 1 species